CCUANGGGUGGCUGCAGUCGAGAAUCUUCGGCAAUGGGCGAAAGCCUGACCGAGCGACGCCGCGUGCGGGACGAAGACCUUCGGGUUGUAAACCGCUUUUAUGCGAGAGAAACCUUCGGGUGAUUGUAUCGCAUGAAUAAGGGGUGGCUAACUCUGUGCCAGCAGCAGCGGUAAUACAGAGACCCCAAGCGUUAUCCGGAUUCAUUGGGCGUAAAGAGUCUUAAGGCGGUGUGUUAAGUCCUUGAUUAAAUUUCUGGAGCUUAACUUCAGAAUCGUUAGGGAUACUGGCACACUAGAGGAGGUCAGAGGUUAGCGGAACGCACGGUGUAGGGGUGAAAUCCGUUGAUAUCGUGCGGAACACCAAAAGCGAAGGCAGCUAACUAGGGCCCUCAUGACGCUGAUUGACGAAAGCGUGGGGAGCAAAAAGGAUUAGAUACCCUANUANUC
rnacentral:rRNA from 1 species